AUUACACAUUAAAUCUCCAUCUGCAGAGGGCACAAUCUGUUUCAGGACACUUCCACCAAGACAUAUUUUAAGGUUGUUUUUGUUUCUUUAAUUUCCUCUCUAUACGUUUAACUUCUUUUCUUUGACCAACAUUGAGUUGAUGCAAUAUAUUAUAAAGUCAUUCGGGUUGUUGUGAUAUUCUCAAGCCAAAGCCACUUUGGCAGUUUGUUGUGAUGAGAAAGGUGGGCUCUACUCUGUUUGUAAGUGUUUUGAUGUAACUCAAAG
rnacentral:misc_RNA from 1 species